CGGGGCUCACCGGAGAUGAGAGGCCCCGACAGCUUCUUGAUCGCACCGUUCGCAUUGGCCGCAGCAGUCCCGGGUGCAGGACGUCCUGGAAUCCCCGAGAGAGGCUGGUCCUUCAGCUCCUGGCCGCGCUGCUCUUGAUUCUCGUCCUGCUCCUCGACCGGCUCCCCAUUCUGCUCCUCGACCGGCUCCGCACCCUGCUCCUCGACCGGCUCCGCGCCCUGCUCCUCCUCCGGCUCCUCGUCCUUCUCCUCGACCGGCUCUGCGCCCUGCUCCUCGCCCUGCUCAGAGACCGGCUCAGUUCCCAGCUCAUCACCCGGCUCAGCACCCGACUCCUCGCCCUGCUCAGAGACCUGCUCAGGGACCUGUUCCUCGCCGUCCCGAGUCGCCACGUCCGGGUUCGCGUCCGGGAUCGGGUCCGGAGUCGGGUCGGAGGUCGCGACCAGGGUCACCUCCGGAAUUGGGUCUGAGACGACCAGGGCCUCGAAGAGGCACAUCCUGCUGGAAGUUGAAGUCCCAGCGGUUCUGGUCCUCGGCGUUCAGCUCGGCCAGGCGCAUCCGCAGCUCGCGGCCCAGCUCCUCGUGGUCUACAGGCCCGAAGAGGCUGCGGCAGGCGCUGCUACGCGCUAUCACUGGGA
rnacentral:lncRNA from 1 species